rnacentral:lncRNA from 1 species
AGGAACAAACUUGAUGGGAAUGAUUUAUGCCUGAGUGAUUUUCCUUUGGAUUCAAGUGACAAAACUCAGACUAUGAUGAUUAGACAGAGAGCAUUUACCAACUGAAACAUCACCAUAUAUUAUGUGUUAGAACCAUGCUUCUGGCCUAUUCAGAUACCUUCAGGAACCAUCCACAGAGCAAGCAAUGAAUGGACUCAAAUAUAUUGCUCCAUCUUGGGUCUCUACCAUUGAUCUGUCUACGAUUUCUGUCCCCGUUCAGCAUGAGAGCAGCUUCCCCUGAGUGCAGACUGUCUUGGCUUGAACAAGCUACUUUCUUCUUAUUUUACUUGAGUAAACAUUGUCUGUUAACUUAUA